rnacentral:lncRNA from 1 species
AUGGAUGGGUUCCUUUACUACCACACAUCUUUCCUUCUUGAAGAUGACAGAAACCUACAGCUGUCAAUCACUAAUAAGCGUAGUUUUCUUGCAUUACAAUCCACUCUACAGUGUGUUUUCCUUGUAAAAAUCCCAAGGGUUGAUCGUAUUUGUUGGCACAUACGGUGUCUCCAGUAAAAUCCACAGCAGACAAGCAUAGAGCUUAAUAUUGGCAAAUGUAUAUAACCACCACCAAAAUCAAAAUAAACAAUAUUUCCAGCAGCCCACAAAUUUCCCUUUCCAGUCAAUUCCAGUUGCAAUGCCACCUCAAAUCCCCCAAGACAAUUACUAUUCUGA